rnacentral:rRNA from 1 species
UACGGGGGGAGCAAGCGUUGUUCGGAUUUACUGGGCGUAAAGGGCGCGUAGGCGGUCGUGACAAGUCACUUGUGAAAUCUCCGGGCUUAACUCGGAAAGGUCAAGUGAUACUGUCGGACUAGAGUGCAGAAGGGGCAACUGGAAUUCUUGGUGUAGCGGUGAAAUGCGUAGAUAUCAAGAGGAACACCUGCGGCGAAGGCGGGUUGCUGGGCUGACACUGACGCUGAGGCGCGAAAGCUAGGGGAGCGAACGGG